ACGUCCCUACGGGGCGCAGCAGUGAGGAAUAUUGGUCAAUGGGCGGGAGCCUGAACCAGCCAAGUCGCGUGAGGGAAGACGGUCCUAUGGAUUGUAAACCUCUUUAGGCGGGGAGCAAUGCCGGGCACGCGUGCCCGGAGGGAGAGUACCCGAAGAAUAAGCAUCGGCUAACUCCGUGCCAGCAGCCGGGGUAAUACGGAGGAGGCGAGCUUUAUCCGGAUUUAUUGGUGUUAAAGGGUGCGGAGGCGGAUUUUUAAGUCAGAGGUAA
rnacentral:rRNA from 1 species